CCGUAGUUUGUGCGGCCCCGUGGUUCUAGGCGGUGGCGCUGGCUCCUGUUGCAUCGGUUCUCCAGGGACUCCCUGACCUUCUGCGGUGCCCUCCUUGAAGACUCUCGGAGGGGACACCAUCCUGCGACAGGCAGCGAAAGGAAACGGAAGGUGCAUUUGCGGAGGCAGCUGGGAGAGGGGCUGCCACAUGACGCUAGGAGGAAGUCCAGCCGGCGAGCGGAGAGGGAAGGGGGCCCUUCCGGCGACCUGGCAUUUAUAUUCUCCCAGGGGCAAGCCGAAAGGGAAUGGUCCCUAUUCUAGCCAGCAGUGGGCAAGGAGGCGACGGGAUGUUCAUACCCAGUGAGAGAACAUCCUGCUGGGAAUAUCAGCCACGGUGUUUGACAGCAGGAAAAAGACCAAAAAUAUCAAAAUACUCCAAGUGGCGUUGCUUGUGGCAACAAAAAGUAGAAACAACUUUUGGGGAAAGCCUAAAGAAUUAAAGUAUGAAAUGUAAGGAGCGGUACUACAUGGUAAGGAGCCAUAAAAAUGAAAAAUCAGAGAAACAUAGGCUUGCCCUGAAGCCGGGGAAGGAAGUGGAGCCAAAAGAACAGUAUACAAGAGGACUGCCACAACGAGCAGAAACUGUGAUCCAGAAAGAUUAAGUGUCUUGUCCACUAUCACACAGAUAAUAUAAUACAUCAGGAGCUCUAGAUGCCAUCUCCAAGAUCAAUUCUCUUGUUUACAAGAUGAUCUCCAUUUCCUAAUAGGCCAAGACAGAUUAUAAAUUUUCUUCUAUUUGUGGAACUUUUUAAAAAUCAAAGUGUUUUACACUAUACAGACUACUUGGCCCAAGAUGGUUGCUGGAGUCCAAGUAGAAGAAGAGCUCUCAAGUCGGUACUUCUUAAAUGUAAAACUCACAACUCGGGGAAAAAGACCAAGAUCGAGAAGUAAGAAAAACCACAGUAGAACUCUUUAUUACCCCGACAUUUCAUCACAGGCUUUGGAAUUUAAGAGCCAUUAAAAUAUAGACCCCCUUCCCAACACUGGGCACAACAAAGAGUAAUCAUAUCGUUGAUCUUCUGGACAGACUCACAAUGGUAGUAUUUUUUUUAACCAAACUAAGGUCUCUGUAAGAUUGUCAUAUCCUACUGUUCUCCAACCAAGAAGAUACAGGUCUGUUUAGGCAUAUGGGCAUCGGUGACAUUUAUUCCUUUUUUUAUAACAGUUGGUUUUCCUUAUGAUUAAACCAGCUUGUCAAAACCCCCAUUAAGCAUCACUGACCCCAAAAGGGUUCAGAUUUUCUUGUCGGGGGGGGAGGGGGGGCAUAAAUAUCUUUCUGCUUCUCUCCUUGAAGGGGAUGGAAUGUUUUCAAGAUGAACACAUGGACUCCCACUGCCGGAAUAUUCGGAACACUUUCCUUGAUUUCUCAGAGAGAUUCUAUGGGAUAAAAAGACAAAUACUAGAGUCCCCAAGUCCAGUGAUGAACCUACUGAACUGCUAGAAGAACAGAGGCGUGCCCGCUUGGCUCGCCGGUGAGGACUAGAUGGAACUUCCAACCCAGUGCUAUCUCCUUGCCCCAUACUGCGGGUCACUGGGCGGCUUCUGGUGGUGGGGCUAGCAGCCUCUGGCUCCGGACGAUCAAUAGGACUAGAGCAGUCCCAACUCCGUGUUCUGGAUAUGACAAGACCUGGACUCUUUUCAGACUAAAAGGAGGACAGGAAGAAAACAUUUUCAAACACAACAAAGCAGGCAAGGGUUCUUGUUUUUUAAAAAUGCAUAUACUUGGUAACUCUUUUAAUAUAAUUGGCUUCCUUUAUAAUAUUGUGUAUUUUCCAUUUUAUGCUUUUAAAAACAUUAUCCUGAAAAGGGACCCUUUGGCUUCACCAGACUGCCUGAGAGAUUCACGACCCAAAAAAGAAUCAGAUUCCCUGCUGUAGCAGAUGGUUCAUCUGCCCAAAAGAAAGGGGCCAGGGUCCUUACUACUUAGAUAACAUUCCUUCUCUUUUUACCUUCUGGAAUUUCUUUCAGCAAUAUGUCAGAACAACUGGGUUUUUCAAAGAACAUUAGAUUUACAAAACAAAAUGAUCAAUUUGGCCUCUUUGAAGCAAUGAUAGAUAAGAAUCCCAAAUGGUAUUCUGAGGUGAAGCCCACCCAUUUCAGGAGACCCAAAAACUCUCUGAUAUCAAUAAGACUGAAUUCUUUGACCCAUUCCUUAACAUCAGGGCAAACAAAUCAAUAAAAGUUCAUACUUGUUCAGAGCUUGGGGAAAAUGUGGCAUCCUGGCUGCGUGUCAUCAUUCUCCUCGGAGACACUAAAGCCAAAGGAAAGCGUUCCGAUCGCCCAUCAGGGACAGCAAUGGGGGUGCUCAUCAGGCCAAAGGUAACAUCCAGAUCAACCAAGGCAGACUCAAUCUGCUGGAAGCCCCAGAGUCCCACUUUUCUCAAACAGUGUGAACAUGCAAUUAGAGAAAGUUGCACAGACUCCACAGAAGAACUGAACAUAGGAAAUAAAAAGAAAAUUAUAUUAAAUCCACUAAUGGGGGGGGGGGAAUCUAAUUAAAAAAAUUAUACCAAAACCCAAUUAAAAUGUCUAGAAUGCUUGA